rnacentral:rRNA from 1 species
GCAGCCAAGUCGUGAGGCGGAGCUAAUCCCUUAAAGCCAUUCUCAGUUCGGAUUGUAGGCUGAAACUCGCCUACAUGAAGCUGGAGUUACUAGUAAUCGCGGAUCAGCACGCCGCGGUGAAUACGUUCCCGGGCCUUGUACACACCGCCCGUCACACCAUGAGAGUCUGUAACACCCAAAGCCGGUGGGAUAACCUUUAUAGGAGUCAGCCGUCUAAGGUAGGACAGAUGAUUAGGGUGAAGUCGUAACAAGGUAGC